GUGCUCGCUUCAGCAGCACAUAUACUAAAAUUGGAACGAUACAGAGAAGAUUAGCAUGGCACCAUGGAGAACUGAGACUGCAACAUUUUUAU
rnacentral:snRNA from 1 species